rnacentral:rRNA from 1 species
UACGAAGGGGGCUAGCGUUGCUCGGAAUCACUGGGCGUAAAGCGCACGUAGGCGGAUUGCUAAGUCAGGGGUGAAAUCCUGGAGCUCAACUCCAGAACUGCCUUUGAUACUGGCGAUCUUGAGUCCGGGAGAGGUGAGUGGAACUGCGAGUGUAGAGGUGAAAUUCGUAGAUAUUCGCAAGAACACCAGUGGCGAAGGCGGCUCACUGGCCCGGUACUGACGCUGAGGUGCGAAAGCGUGGGGGGCAAACAGG